UCAGGACAUGUUCUCUUCAGUAUGAAGGGCUCUCCCUGAUCUGAUGUUGGUAUUACUGGAAGAAGGACAGCCCAAGCGGGGACUCAGCCUGAGGGCCAAUUUCUGCAUCUGAAAAGCCCCUAGGGCAAGUGAGAUUGACAGGCGCCCUGUUGCCUCUUGAUCACCCUUUUUUAGGGUUGUUUUGGAAUUUAUCCUCAAUUUCUGUCUCUGCGUCCUGCUGUGUUAACAUCUAAAGCCAAAUGGAUUCUUCGUAUUUUCAUAUUUCACCCAUAAGGACAAAACGUGAAGAAAAGGUUCAACAUGUGCUCAAACUCAGGUUGAGUGCUACCAAAAGUGCUACACACUGGAUGGUCAAGGCUCCAAGUCUUCCGAAAUCUGCAGAAUCUUUCCAUUCUCUUGUACCCAUUUGGAGAUCAAAGCUCCUGGAGGACAGAUAAUUCCAGUACUUCCUAACUUCUUUUCCCCAGGGGUGAGUGGCCAACAGAAUAGUAAGAGUGGCCAGCAGCAGGUAAAACAGGUCCCUCAAUCUCUGACAGUCCGGGAAGGAGAGAUUUCUACGCUGAACUGUACUUACGAGAACAGUGCAUUUGACUACUUCCUAUGGUACCGACAAUACCCUGGUAAAGGCCCCGAAUUAUUGCUGGCUAUGCUCUUGGUCGCGAGUACAAAGGAAGAUGGAAGAUUCACAGUUUCCCUCAAUGUAAGUGCCAAACAAUUUUCAUUGCACGUCACGGCUCCCCAGCCUGGAGACUCAGCCACCUACUUCUGUGCAGCAAAAGCACAGUGCUCCCCAGGCACCUGCAGCCUGGCCCCAAACCUGAAGCUGAGGCUCCAGCCAAAUCCUACUGUGUAGAGGAAAUACAAACACACACAUACACACACACAGAAUCUGUUUGGCCACAAAAAAAUUCUUCAUACAUUUAAAAGGACUGCAAUUAUAUAGAAUUUAUUCUCUGACCAAAGUGAAAUUGAGAAAAUCAAUUGCAAAAAAAUGUCUCUAGAAACUUCCAAGUACUUGGAAUGUAAGCACUAAACUUUAAAAUACAGUAGCCUCCUCUUAACCUCAGUUUUACUUUCUGUGGUAUUAGUUACCCGUGAUCAACCGUAGUCUGGAAGCCAGAUGAUCCCCCUUCUGGCAUAUUGUCAGAAGGUCAAUAGUGAGCUAACGCUAUGUCACAACGCCUACAUUAUUCACCUCACUUCAUCUCACCAUGUAGACAUUUUUUCAUGUUACAUCAUCAUAAGAAAGAAAAGGGGGUGCAGCACAAUAAGAUAUUGAGAAACCACAUUCACAUAACUUUUAUUACAGUAUAUAAAAUAUAAAUGUAUAUGGGAUAUAGCUAAAAUAGUACAUAGAAGGAAAUUUAACAUUUCAUUUUAUUUUAUUUUAAUUCCAAUGUAGCUAACAUAGAGUAUUAUAUUAGUUUCAGAUGUACAAUACACUGAUUCAACAAUUCUACACGCACUCAGUGUUCAUCAUGAUAAGUGUACUCUUAAUCCCCUUCACUUAGGAAAUUUAAUAUUUUAGAUACUUAUAUUCCUAAAGAAGAAAAGUUGAAAAACACAGCUCUAAGCUUUCAACAAAAGAAGAUAGAAAAAGAAGAAAAAUUAAACCCAACAUGAGCUAAAAGAAAAAAAAUAAUUAGAAAGUCAAACUAGUAAACUACAAAACAAAC